UACGUAGGGGGCAAGCGUUGUCCGGAAUCAUUGGGCGUAAAGCGCGCGUAGGUGGCCCCAUAAGUCCGCUGUGAAAGUCAAAGGCUCAACCUUUGAAAGCCGGUGGAUACUGUGGGACUAGAGUACGGAAGAGGCGAGUGGAAUUCCUGGUGUAGCGGUGAAAUGCGCAGAUAUCAGGAGGAACACCGAUUGCGAAGGCAGCUCGCUGGAACGUUACUGACGCUGAGACGCGAAAGCGUGGGGAGCAAACAGG
rnacentral:rRNA from 1 species